CAUAAAGAUCUGAGGACUUGUCUGCCGAUUGGAUAUUUAUUGCAAGUCGCCUGUAGUGUAGCUUGAUUGAUAAUAACGUGUGGUCAAUCGGAGGUGUCUGUUCCCACCCAUCCUUUCCACCUAGAGUGUGAAAGUGUACUGCCUACUUUGGUUUUCCUUUCUGUCUGACUUUUUUUCUGUGUGUUAAGUGGCACCGCGCAGCAACUAUUGCCCGUCUUCUAGUCGUUGUCUUACUUUAAUUGCAACCUGCUGCGUUCCACGUUACGCGGCCAAAAUAAAAAUUCAAAUACCCUGAGGUCGUAUAUCCCACUGGUGGAGUUUAUUACAUUGCUGCUCUGGCAUGUCCUGAUCCAGACUGUUGACAAUACAGAUACAUUUGCCAAAAGAUGUUCCAUGUGCACCUCACAUGGACCAAGUUAAGAAUGUCUCAAUAGCUGAAAGUUGCAGAGUUGAUACUGAACAGGAAUGUCAUUUUUGGUGUCCUUACUUCACUUUUCUUUUGAUACCAUGUGAUAAUGCUUCUGUUGAAGAAGUUCAGGAAAGGCCUGGAAUGAAGAGCUAUUCUGGUUCAUUCUGAAGACCAGUGCUGGCCUCAUGAUGAAGUUGGUACUGAUGAAUCACAGUUCGAGACUCCCAUACAGGGAAAGUGGGCUUUGACUGCCUGGAUCUCCCCUGAAAAUGAGUCAUGGGAUCAAUGAGACUACUGGAAGAACAAAUUUCACAUGAACAAAACAAAUACACAGACCAAAACCAAAUAGUUUUAUGUAAUACCUAUUAAUCAAGCAAAAGAAAAAUGAAAACUACAGUAGCUAAUGCAAGUAGAACAGAAUGGUGCAUUUUUCAAAUACUCUUUAAUUUAUCAGAUCUGCUUUUUAAGUAUUGAACUGAAGCAUUCAUCUCAUUAUGUGGUCUCCUUUUUCAGAUGAUAAAUGGAAAAUACACGGACUGCCAUCAUCAUAUGAGAAGUAUAAAUAUAGAAUGAGAGGUAAAAGCUGCUAACCUGCUUGUCUUGUUUUCUGUUAUUUCUAGAUGCACUUUUCAUGAACUAAUUUCAAAUUUUAGAAUACUGUGGGGUGAAUUUCCAUAGAUGCACAACAUUUUUGUUUUACAUUUAUGGUAUGAAACUAACACAGAGCUUUUUUUAGGCCUGUAUGUGUGAACUAGUGUAAAAAUGUUGUGAAAUGGUAGACUGGCAGCACUUUCUUUGAAAAAGGUUUUCUAUAAACAUAUGAUUAAUCAUGAGUUUUGUUGUCCUAUCAUUUCCCUAGAUACGAUUUCACGCAGCAUGAAAAAAGCAUUAUCUCCCCUUAUGGUGUAAAGUUACCAGUUUAUAUGCAGGGCAUUGUGGUUGUGUUAUCUCUACUGUCUAGCUGUUUUGGAAUUUGUAACAUAAAUAACUGACAAGGUUUGCCUCAGGCCUAAGUACGGAAAUAUGAAGGAAACAACUUCCUUCUGCACUACCCCUAUGUUAUAACUUUUGCAUAUACAUUGCUAAAAUGAAUACUCCAGGCAAAGUUUACUAAACUUAUGGAAAGUUUAUAUGUAUCUUUUUUGUUCCAGUAAUAUGUGGGAUAUACCAUUUGUCAUAUUUCAUACUUUUCAGUAAGGCCUGUAUCUAUUUAGCUAUCUUUACAGAACAUAGUUAAUACACUAGUCUAAGUUAAUUUAUCAUCAUCAUAUGUUCAUAUUUAUGAUGUGAGAUGUGACAAAAAGCUGACCGCACAAAUAAAAAAUAAA